rnacentral:rRNA from 1 species
AUUGAACGCUAGCGGGAUGCUUUACACAUGCAAGUCGAACGAGUGGCGGACGGGUGAGUAAUAUAUCGGAACGUGCCCAGUAGCGGGGGAUAACUACUCGAAAGAGUGGCUAAUACCGACUACUAUUGGAGCGGCCGAUAUCGGAUUAGCUAGUUGGUGGGGUAUAGGCUCACCAAGGCAACGAUCCGUAGCUGGUUUGAGAGGAGGACAAGGCACACUGGGACUGAGCCACGGCCCCGACUCCUACGGGAGGCAUCAGUGGGGAAGUUUGGACAAGUGGGGAAACCCGGAUCCAGCCAUCCCGCGUGUAUGAGAAGGCCUUCGGGUGGUAAAGUACUUUUGGCAGAGAAGCGGUAUCUGCAGAAUAAGCACCGGCUAACUACGUGCCAGCAGCCGCGGUAAUUC